UGAGCAAUCUGCCUAGAUGUGGGGGAUAGCCGGCCCAACGGCCGGGUAAUACCGCAUACGCUCUCCUGGUGGCAUCACCGGGUGAGGAAACUUUCGAGGCGUCUAGAGGAGCUCGCGGCCUAUCAGCUAGUUGGUAAGGUAACGGCUCACCAAGGCGACGACGGGUAGCUGGUCUGAGAGGAUGGCCAGCCACAUUGGGACUGAGACACGGCCCAGACUCCGUAGGAGG
rnacentral:rRNA from 1 species